UGAACUCCUGGCUCCGACAGUCCUCCUUCCUCAGCCUCCAAAAGUGCUGGGAUUAUAGCUCGCUCUCUUUUGCUGCUUCUCAGCCUCUGCAUCUAUAAAUAGUUGAGGCUUCUGGAACAAGCACAGUGUCAGGGCUGGUGACAGGAGGAAGGAGGGGAAUUUGCCGUCCUUUGGGUUCCCUUGAGAGGAUGGCCUCCCUUAGGCACCUACAGCCGUUGGAUGAGAGCAGGAUCCAGAUGACAGCAUUAAGUGUCACAAGAUUGGACCAGCCUUGGGGACAUGGACAGCCCGCUCCGAUCAUUUCAUCUGACUCGGUCUCCCCAGCUCACCUCAUGGACAGUCCUGCCUCCCCUGAUGUCUUCAGAAACAGCUGCAUGGAGCCAAUGGACUCAAAUACGCCCAGGUGCAGAGCUCUGACGCUUUAAGAAACCUAAUGCUUCAGUAAAUAAGUGGAGACACCUGGGAAUGGAGUGACCGUGGGCUCGGUGGAGCUUCCAUGGAAAGAUCCAUCUUUUCCCCGCAGAGGUUGCUUGGUGUUGUGAAAAUGGAGAGAAGCCAGGGAAGGCCAGGUUGCCCACGGUGGAGCGGCACAGCGGGAGCUGAGGACCGCCUGGAUGAGGGACACUCUGCACCGAGCAAUGACACCUCCCUGACCCCGUGGGGGCCGCUGAGGAGGUCCUGAGGAAGGUGCAUGCCCUCCGUCAGGGUGCAGAGCCCACUUCCACCCAAAGGAAUCGGAGUUACACCUUGUAAUGUUUGUCAUGAUUCUAACCUGCUUUCUCCUGCAUAAAAGUCACUUGCACAGUGAAAUCUGGCUCUGUAACUACCCCUCCGUCACCCAGCCCGCGGGAUAUAACAUUUGCUUCUUUGACAAAUAUUUAUUGAGCAAUUAUAAUAUGCUAAGCACUAGAUGUAUCUAGCGGGGAUUAAUAAGGAGAAAAACACUUUGUAUCCUAUCGUAGGUACAUUUAUAGUUAAAGGUUUUCACAUUUUCAAAACAAAAUGUUUUUUGAAAAAUGCAUAUUUUCCUGCCAUAAUUUUUUUGAUGUGAAGAUUUACAAGGUUAUGAGAAAUUAAACGUUAAAUUUUAGAUGCAGUUAUCAUAUUUUAACAUAUUUAAACUAUAGGAAACUGAGGCUAUCCCAGAUUAUACAAACUAUAUGGGGCUAGAGAGAAAAGUCAGAACAAUGGAAGGUGAGUGAAAAGUACAGCUGACAAUCAUUUAAGCGGCCUGAAAGACCUUUUACGGAAAGAGAAACAAAUGCGUCUCAAACCACCAGCUGUUUGCCAAACACUUUAUCUGUAGCCACCUGAAGCCCCUGAUAUGGUUAGGGUUUGUGUCUCCACCUAAAUCUCAUCUUGUAUUGUAAUUCCCCUUAUCCCUGUAAUCCCCACGUGUUGGGAGAGACCAGG